rnacentral:rRNA from 1 species
AUUGAACGCUGGCGGCAGGCCUAACACAUGCAAGUCGAACGAGUGGCGGACGGGUGAGUAAUGUCUGGGAAACUGCCUGAUGGAGGGGGAUAACUACUGGAAAAGGUAGCUAAUACCGCAUACCAUCGGAUGUGCCCAGAUGGGAUUCGCUAGUAGGUGGGGUAAAGGCUCACCUAGGCGACGAUCCCUAGCUGGUCUGAGAGGAUGAACAGCAACACUGGAACUGAGACACGGUCCAGAAUCCUACGGGAGGCAGCAGUGGGGAAUAUUGCACAAUGGGCGCAAGCCUGAGGCAGCCAUACCGCGUGUAUGAAGAAGGCCUUCGGGUUGUAAAGUACUUUCAGCGGGGAGGCGUUACCCGCAGAAGAAGCACCGGCUAACUCCGUGCCAGCCGCCGCGGUAAUAC